rnacentral:RNase_P_RNA from 1 species
GGGAGAGAGAGCCUGGCCGCCGCGGCGGUGGCGUCGGCGACGGCGCGACCGUACAACGUGACCCAUCCCUUCGGGAUGUGUCAUGCUCGCGAGGAAAGUCCCCCCACCUGUUUGGGCAGGUGACCGGACGCAAGUCCGGAGCGGGAGACCGCUGGCUCUGGAACAGAAACGACACGUCUCGGCCCGACCGAUGAUGCGCGCGAACCCGACCGAGAGGAAGGGGAGUUGACCCGCAGAGGGAUGCGCGGUCCUACGGACCGCGAAACGUGAGGCGGCGCGAGCCGCCGAACUGGCGAGCGGCACACGCCGCGAGCCGCGUGCAGUCGUCAAACCGUGGUUCGAAUCCACGGGUCACGUUCGUCGUGAUCGACCGCACACGGACGGCCGAGGAUCGAUGGAACGGCGAACCCUCACCGGUGCAAGUCCGUGCCGUGGUAGCCCGAACACCCCGUGGCUCCGCCACGGACGGCACGGACGCUAAGCCGAAUGCCGGGCCGAACAGAAGGGGGCUUACUCCUCUCACCC